rnacentral:rRNA from 1 species
AACGAACGCUGGCGGCAGGCCUAACACAUGCAAGUCGAGCGGAUCCUUCGGGAUUAGCGGCGGACGGGUGAGUAACGCGUGGGAAUAUGCCCUUCUCUACGGAAUAGCCUCGGGAAACUGGGAGUAAUACCGUAUACGCCCUACGGGGGGAAGAUUUAUCGGAGAAGGAUUAGCCCGCGUUGGAUUAGGUAGUUGGUGGGGUAAUGGCCUACCAAGCCUACGAUCCAUAGCUGGUUUGAGAGGAUGAUCAGCCACACUGGGACUGAGACACGGCCCAGACUCCUACGAGAGGCAGCAGUGGGGAAUCUUAGACAAUGGGGGAAACCCUGAUCUAGCCAUGCCGCGUGAGUGAUGAAGGCCUUAGGGUUGUAAAGCUCUUUCAGCUGGGAAGAUAAUGACGGUACCAGCAGAAGAAGCCCCGGCUAACUCCGUGCCAGCCGCCGCCGUAAGAC